ensembl:lincRNA Gm13499 predicted gene 13499
ACAAGGAAAAAGGACAGAGGAAGAUAAAGAAGAAGGUCACUAUGAGUCAGGAUGGACCAUGAGCACAUGGCCAAGAGAAGCUCACCCUGAGGACGAACAUGGAGGAGAGCAAGCUGGGAGAGACUCAAAAUAUACAGCGUGGCUGCAUCAUUUUUCAAUUAAGCAAAUGGUUUUGGAGAGCUGGGAGUGUGGUCGGAUGUUAGUUCACUUGCUAACGCGUGCAAGACCCUGGAUUGAAGCUUCAUCAGCACAACAAACAAACAAACACUAGGAUAAUUUUAAAUGGAUACAUUUUGCUAAGGCAAAGCUGGAUAACCGGAAGCGGAAGAAGAUGCCGCAGGUGAGAAACAGCGGACCCUCUGAGGAUCAGGAGGAAGCAACGGCCCCAGCUUUUCCAGUUUGACUGUGAUUGCCCAUUUUUGUGAACGCCGUCUCACAUUAAUGCUGCACUUUGUCCAGCUUUCUAAAAGCCACACAUUGGCAGGAAGUAUAAAACAUGCUUUGGACCAAAAACUGAAAAUAGUUGUCCUCCUGUAACUACAGAAAUGCUGAGACCAUAAGGUGACUGCAAGCAGAUGUCUCUGCAGAAGUAUAAAACCCACC